UAGGGAAUCUUCCGCAAUGGACGCCAGUCUGACGGAGCAACGCCGCGUGAGUGAAGAAGGAUUUCGGUUCGUAAAACUCUGUUGUUAGAGAAGAACAGCGCAUAGAGUAACUGUUAUGCGUGUGACGGUAUCUAACCAGAAAGCCACGGCUAACUACGUGCCAGCAGCCGCGGUAAUACGUAGGUGGCAAGCGUUGUCCGGAUUUAUUGGGCGUAAAGCGAGCGCAGGCGGUCAAUUAAGUCUGAUGUGAAAGCCCCCGGCUCAACCGGGGAGGGGCAUUGGAAACUGGUUGACUUGAGUGCAGAAGAGGAGAGUGGAAUUCCAUGUGUAGCGGUGAAAUGCGUAGAUAUAUGGAGGAACACCAGUGGCGAAGGCGACUCUCUGGUCUGUAACUGACGCUGAGGCUCGAAAGCGUGGGUAGCAAACAGG
rnacentral:rRNA from 1 species